rnacentral:sRNA from 1 species
UCACUGGACGGGGAGCGAGGCGGCGAGCA